CCUACGGGAGGCUGCAGUGGGGAAUAUUGCACAAUGGGCGGAACCCUGAUCCAGCGACGCCGCGUGAGUGAAGAAGUAUUUCGGUAUGUAAAGCUCUAUCAGCAGGGAAGAAAAUGACGGUACCUGACUACGAAGCCCCGGCUAACUACGUGCCAGCAGCCGCGGUAAUCCGGAGGGGGCAAGCGUUAUCCGGAUUUACUGGGUGUAAAGGGGGCGUAGACGGUUAUGCAAGUCUGAAGUGAAAGGCCAAGGAUCAACCAUGGGACUGCUUUGGAAACUGUAAAACUGGAGUGCAGGAGAGGUAAGCGGAAUGCCUAGUGUAGCGGUGAAAUGCGUAGAGAUAUGGCAGAACACCAGUGGCGAAGGCGGCUCUCUGGUCUGUAACUGACGCUGAGGUUCGAAAGCGUGGGUAGCAAACAGGAUUAGAUACCCCUGUAGUC
rnacentral:rRNA from 1 species